rnacentral:rRNA from 1 species
UACGUAGGCAGCAAGCGUUGUUCGGAAUUACUGGGCGUAAAGCGUGCGUAGGUGGUUGUUUAAGUCUGUUGUGAAAGCCCUGGGCUCAACCUGGGAAUUGCAGUGGAUACUGGGCGACUAGAGUGUGGUAGAGGGUAGUGGAAUUCCCGGUGUAGCAGUGAAAUGCGUAGAGAUCGGGAGGAACAUCCAUGGCGAAGGCAGCUACCUGGACCAACACUGACACUGAGGCACGAAAGCGUGGGGAGCAAACAGG